AGUGAACGCUGGCGGUAGGCCUAACACAUGCAAGUCGAACGGCAGCACAGUAAGGGCUUGCUCUUACGGGUGGCGAGUGGCGGACGGGUGAGGAAUACAUCGGAAUCUACUUUUUCGUGGGGGAUAACGUAGGGAAACUUACGCUAAUACCGCAUACGACCUACGGGUGAAAGCAGGGGAUCUUCGGACCUUGCGCGAUUGAAUGAGUCGAUGUCGGAUUAGCUAGUUGGCGGGGUAAAGGCCCACCAAGGCGACGAUCCGUAGCUGGUCUGAGAGGAUGAUCAGCCACACUGGAAGUGAGACACGGUCCAGACUCCUACGGGAGGCAGCAGUGGGGAAUAUUGGACAAUGGGCGCAAGCCUGAUCCAGCCAUACCGCGUGGGUGAAGAAGGCCUUCGGGUUGUAAAGCCCUUUUGUUGGGAAAGAAAAGCAGCAGGUUAAUACCCCGCUGUUCUGACGGUACCCAAAGAAUAAGCACCGGCUAACUUCGUG
rnacentral:rRNA from 1 species